rnacentral:rRNA from 1 species
GCCGUCGUCCAUACUGCGUCUAGCACCUGAUCCCACCUGAACUCCGAAGUUAAGCGGCGCAAGUCCCGUUUAGUACUGCGGUAGGGUCAUCGUCCAAAGGGAUUCCCGCGGAGUCCUCUACC